UACCCGUGCGAUCGCCGAGGUUAAGCAACGUUAAGCCUGGUCAGUACUUGGAUGGGUGACGGCUUAGGAAUACCAAGUGCUGUAAG